GGGCAGCGCUCGGCCGGCGGCGGGGCUGGGCCGGCUCUCGGCUGGCUUUACCCGGCGUCAUCCGCCGGCCCUGCCCACC